CUGUCUGGUCUGUAACUGACGCUGAGGCUCGAAAGCAUGGGUAGCGAACAGGAUUAGAUACCCUGGUAGUCCAUGCCGUAAACGAUGAAUGCUAGGUGUUGGAGGGUUUCCGCCCUUCAGUGCCGCAGCUAACGCAUUAAGCAUUCCGCCUGGGGAGUACGACCGCAAGGUUGAAACUCAAAGGAAUUGACGGGGGCCCGCACAAGCGGUGGAGCAUGUGGUUUAAUUCGAAGCAACGCGAAGAACCUUACUAGGUCUUGACAUCUUUUGAUCACCUGAGAGAUCAGGUUUCCCCUUCGGGGGCAAAAUGACAGGUGGUGCAUGGUUGUCGUCAGCUCGUGUCGUGAGAUGUUGGGUUAAGUCCCGCAACGAGCGCAACCCUUAUGACUAGUUGCCAGCAUUUAGUUGGGCACUCUAGUAAGACUGCCGGUGACAAACCGGAGGAAGGUGGGGAUGACGUCAAAUCAUCAUGCCCCUUAUGACCUGGGCUACACACGUGCUACAAUGGAUGGUACAACGAGUUGCGAGACCGCGAGGUCAAGCUAAUCUCUUAAAGCCAUUCUCAGUUCGGACUGUAGGCUGCAACUCGCCUACACGAAGUCGGAAUCGCUAGUAAUCGCGGAUCAGCACGCCGCGGUGAAUACGUUCCCGGGCCUUGUACACACCGCCCGUCACACCAUGAGAGUUUGUAACACCCGAAGCCGGUGGCGUAACCCUUUUAGGGAGCGAGCCGUCUAAGGUGGGACAAAUGAUUAGGGUGAAGUCGUAACAAGGUAACCGUA
rnacentral:rRNA from 1 species